CGGAACUCUCGAGCCUCGGAACCCACAAGUGCGGGCGUGAGGCGCCGGAGGGCAGAGGAGUGGAACACGCUGUCCGCGGACGGACCCGGAAGCACAUGGCGGCGAGCCUCCAGGAGCGGGAGGCGGAACGCAGCCUCGUCUGGCUUCGCUGACGCUCAGAAGGGAACGUGAGGAGUCAGCCCGGCGUGGGCUUGGUGGUCAGCGAGCCGGGGGUCCUGAGAGCCUUGGCAAAGAGUGGCAGGUUGUGCCGGAAGCCUCGCUGUGGU
rnacentral:lncRNA from 1 species